AUUGAACGCUGGCGGCAGGCCUAACACAUGCAAGUCGAGCGAGCGGCGGACGGGUGAGUAAUGUCUGGGAAACUGCCUGAUGGAGGGGGAUAACUACUGGAAACGGUAGCUAAUACCGCAUACCAUCAGAUGUGCCCAGAUGGGAUUAGCUGGUAGGUGGGGUAACGGCUCACCUAGGCGACGAUCCCUAGCUGGUCUGAGAGGAUGACCAGCCACGCUGGAGCUGAGACAAGGUCCCGACGCCUACGGGAGGCAGCAGGUGGGAAGAUUGCACAAUGGGCGAAAGCCUGAUGCAUCCAUGCCGCGUGUGGGAAGAAGGCCUUCGGUUUGUAAAGCACUUUCAGCGGGGAGGCGUUACCCGCAGAAGAAGCACCGGCUAACGCCGUGCUAGCAGCCGCGGUAAUAC
rnacentral:rRNA from 1 species